CCCUGUCGCCUGUCACAUAUUGAGCUCGAUGUUCUUCCUCUUCGUUGUUCAAAGUCUAUUAGUUUUUGUUUAUGUCAGUGACCUAGGUUGUCUUCUGUGAUAAAUUUCGUUUUCCCAUUUUGUUUUUCUUGUCUCGUCUUCCUCCCGUCAUCUAUUUCUUAAUAACUCAUUAGGGUUUCAUCGAUUUCUGAAGAUCGGUCGUCGGCCUUCACUGAGAAUAGGUCAGUAAGUAUAAUUUUUUGUUAUUGUACUAUUAAAAUGAUUUAUCUUCCCAUUUAGUAGUACUAUUGUAACAUCCGUAACCCAUUCUUGCCAAAAUCCCUUACGUUUUCUUGGUAGCAAGUUCAGAUUUCCCAAAAUGUCGAUUCUCCAUACCUUCUCAGUUGCAUUAAUAAUUUGAUACAGAGAAUGCAGUAGGGUCAUAUUAGUUCUGAACAAACUGUAAAACUUUAAAAUACAGAGGUUCUGGUGGACUUUCUCACAACUCGUUCACCCUCUAAAUCUUCUGGAACUUCUUGCUGUUCGGAAUCAAUAGGAUCUUCAGAUUUUACAACCUCUGAUGAUCUUUCUAAUUUUGUAAGGUUCUUUUUAUUUUUUUUCAUUUUUGCAGAUUUUCCAGGAAAUAUUAAUUUCUUCUUUGUCUUCACCCUAUGGAAAAAAUAUAUAGCGGUGAUUAGUAAGAUCAGAUAAAAAGACUAUUUGCCCAAUCCCACGUAGUGUAGCGUGUAGCAUUGAAAGCUUUGUUGUGUGACACAACUCAUUCAAAUGGUUAAAAGUUCAAACCUGACGUCACAAAUAUCAAAAGAACAAUAUUCUUUUUUGAUCAUAUAAUGCGUUAUUCAAUUUCCAUUAAUAUGAAUAAAAAAUAUUAACUACAAACCAAAUUAGCUAAAACUAUCUAUACAACAAAUUGUUAACUAAGUUGCAGCAUGCUAAGGAAUCAGAGAUAGAGACUUCCUAAUCCCUAUAACUCAAAUCCUCCUUUGAAUCAGUUUACAUCCAGUAGAGAGAAUGGCUAGCGUCCAACAGAGAUAAGCCAGCACCCAACAACACAUUUCAGUAUUACAUCUGGACCAAAUUCGUUGGGAGAACUCACAAUUAAAUAACAAAUGUUUCAAAUCGUCCUCAGCAUUCUUGCAUAGAACACACCUUCUGUCUUAAGAAGGCCACCAUCAGCUACUGCAAUCUUUUGCGAUAUGCUUACCCCACCUAGUACGCCAACCACACAAGGAAAACUUAUGGAUGCCAUUGGCCCACAAACCACAAACCAUCAGAGUAUUUGUCCUCUAAAUCCUUGACCCUAAUAGAUUCUCAAAUGAAAGCAAAGUGAAUGUAUAUUUCAUCCCUUAACACAGACUGAUGUAGAAGCACAUAGGCGAAGUUCAGAACAAACUUUAGAACCCAUCGUAUGUAAAUCGAUUCCUCUAGAAUAAGUUGUUAACACUACUCUCUCCAAAUUAAAGGAUUGAAGAGAUGAGUGUGAAUUUUUAUUAUGUUUUUUAUAAAAAGGAACUUUGGUUAGAUCAUUGUUGAUUAAUCGGACAGAUAUAUGAACUAAACAUAAUUUGAUACAUGCAGUUAGGUGAUGAUCAUACCUUUUUUUAUGCUAUACGCCCACACUAUCAUAAUUCUGUCAAUUUCAUAUAAAACUUUUGUUAGGUCAUACUCCAAGUUCAUCAACAUUUAUGGCAUAUGUUACAGAGUUAUGAAACUUUUGCAAUGUUCAUUUUUGCAGGACUACGCUUUAUUUCAUCAGGAUCCA
rnacentral:lncRNA from 1 species